UUUUAUAGAUUAUUUCUAUGCUAUUUUCAUUGUGAGUGUUCUUCUCAUAACCCAAUUUAGCCUUUAGGUGUAGUCAAACAUUUGUAACAUCAGUGGCUAUGAUUAUGGUUCUUAUUAGGUGAGGUGAAAGAUGGCUUCAUGCUAAUUUACCUUUCUUUACUGCAAAUGAUGGUGAUUUGUGAGCCAUAAUGUGUAAUUGGAGCUAACAAACAAUGAAAUAUAUACAUUGUUUUCAUGAUUUGAACAGAGCCGAGAUGGGGAUAUUAUUGAUUGUGUACACAUCUCUCAGCAGUUGGCUUUUGUUCUAAAAAAAGGCUCCUAUAGCUAAGGAAGUUGUUCCUCCUUCGCUUUAAUCACAUGGAAUACCACUAAUUUCAAAUCUAUAUCCAUAAAAUAUGCAUUAGCCAUUAAUUCUUUGCUUCAUAUGACAGUUGUAUAAUUGUAUGUUUUAUAAAUAGACAUAGUGAAAAUUUCACGAUAUUUAAGCACAACAUUUAAACCCGUUAGAACCACAAACGAAUCACCCAAACUAUAGUAAGUCGCUUGGUCAGUUUGAGAUCUAAACGGUUGGAUUUCCAGGAUUAACCAUAUAACCAAACCAUUUUAUAUGGUUCAACCUACCAAAAAUAAACCCUCAAACCGGCUGAACCAGGCCAUAAACACCCCUCGGUUUGACAUGUUCUUCUUUAAGCUAAAUACCUUGAUAUGACUCACUUAAGAUAAAAACACAACCCAAGUCCAACCAUUCAGAAGCAAAUGGGUCAAAAUUUCUGUCGAUAAAAAUCAUAAAAGAUGAUUAUACUUAGUGACUGGACAACUAUAGGAACUAGAGGUUUUAUCUGAGUAUGCGAAUAGUUUCUUCAUGAUUCGAUGCAAUAUAGAUGCUUUAGUUAUGUAUUUGUUUUUAACUUGAAUCAAUUGUUUUCGAUUUAGAAUUUCAGCUUUUGGUUCAAUAUGUUUAUGCUAAUAUUUAGUUUAGACGCCUUAGUUUACUUAUACAAGUAUACAACCAAAACCACCAUUGACCCAACCCAUUUGCCAGGACUGCAUUACCCUGGGUUAUCAGGCCAAAAGUAUUGUGGAUGAAGUUUGCUUUGUAGAAAUGCCCGGCACAAAUAAUGUCCGUGGAGUACAAAUAGGGAAACAUGGAUAAUAGAAUCAUCUUCGGUGAUAUUUUUUUAGAAGAUCGUAUGAUCUAAUUAAUCUUUUUUUUUUUUUUGCGAGUCUCAAACAUGCAGAUUUAAAUGUUGCCACAUAAGUUUAUUACACAUAAUCACAUAUUAUGUUAAAUCCUACUAACAUAUACAAAUAUCUUAUUAUUUUUGGCAUGGUCUAACAUAAUUUGUUUGUUUUACUCUGCGAAAUCUCUGUUUGAUAAGCAAAAGGUAUGGGCAGCAAAAGAACCUUCACAAGAACCGGAAAAAGACGCAAGCCCAUAUCAGAGAAAGAGAGAGAGAGAGAGAGAGAGAGCAAUAAGAAUGCAUAGGGAGAAAGGGAACUGAUUCCACAGCGGGUUCAGCGGAGCUACUGAGACGGUUUUCCAUGGCGGUAGUUUACCGAAGAAGACGCAGUGGCAUCCGGCGGUCCGGCGCAGCGGCGCAUAGCGGAGUGUUUCGAAGUUGAUUUUCUGUUUGAGUGUUUCGGAGAAGAAGAAGAAAUAGAAGAAGAAGAAGAAGAAGGAGAAGAAGAAAGGUUACCACGAUAACCGCGAUAGAAGUAGUAGCAGUGACAGCUAUUAGAUCUCAACUAUCUCAUCGGUACGCGUUUAUUUCCAGAUCUAUUUGAUCUCACAGUUCACCAUACUCGAUGAUCUGAGUUUCGAUGGGUCGGGUUUGAAAUACGAUUGGGAUGAGUUUACGGUGGGUGUUGAGGGUGGUUUUGAAGAGAAUGGGAUUAAGAUUGGUGGUGGGGAUGGUUCUGUUUGAGAAGUGACUCCUGUCAAGUAGGAGUGUUCAUAAGCCAUUAUAAAGUGAUCGAACUACCCAAACCGAAACAAGUCGACUGGUUCACCGGUUCGAGCAGCGGUUUUGAAAGCAAUGUUAAAUAACAGAAAGAAUAUUGGAUCAAUGAGGAAGCCGAAGAAGGUUUAUGUUGAAGUUGAAGCCGAAGAAGAGGUGGAUUUGAUGGAGUACAAUAAUGUGAAAGGUAGAAGAAAGAGGAGAGGCAGGAAAGAGACUGCUAAACGAGAUGAAUAUGAAGAAGAACAAGAAAGAAUUGAUAAACCCGAGAUAAGUAGUAAAGCUGAGGUGGAUGAGAAACGUGAGGACGGAUUACACACCGAGGAACCAUCUUGUGUAGAGAAUGAGAACAAUGGCGGAGGAGAUGAUGGGCCCACUUGAAAGAGCAAGGUUUUAAAGCACGCUCCUGCGGUUAAACUUACCAGUAAAAAGGAGGCGAAAUCUAAAGCGAAAAAUCUACCCAAAGAAAGAAUCAGAAGGCAACUUCAAGAAAUUCUGGGAAUGAAUGCGAUACUUGUGGAGCAGACUUUGAUUCAAGGACCAAGUUACAUAAACAUUUGAAUGACACGGGUCAUGCUACAAUCAAGUCACGUUGACAAUGAAGUCGAUAGAAAUUGCCGAUAUUACACACUCUAUGAGGAUCUCGGUGGUUUGAAUGGUAUCAGCUUUGUUUAAAGUUAUACCUUUGAUAGGGUAGGAUUCUACUUAUUGGUGAUAUCAACAGAAAAGAUGCUAAGUGCAUUAUAGUUGUAUUGAAUUGAUAUGGAGGAAAAAAUGUUUGUUAUUUGUUAUAAAAGGGUAAUUGUUCCCUUGCUUCAUUACA